CUAAAAACGACAGUCUCAGUUCGGAUCGCAGGCUGCAACUCGCCUGCGUGAAGUUGGAUUCGCUAGUAAUCGCGCAUCAGCCACGGCGCGGUGAAUACGUUCCCGGGCCUUGUACACACCGCCCGUCAAGCCAUGGGAGCCGGGGGUGCCUGAAGGCCGUGACCGCGAGGAGCGGCCUAGGGUAAAACUGGUGACUGGGGCUAAGUCGUAACAAGGUACC
rnacentral:rRNA from 1 species